rnacentral:rRNA from 1 species
UGGGGAAUAUUGCACAAUGGGCGAAAGCCUGAUGCAGCAACGCCGCGUGAGCGAUGAAGGCCUUCGGGUCGUAAAGCUCUGUCCCAAGGGAAGAUAAUGACGGUACCUUGGGAGGAAGCCCCGGCUAACUACGUG